rnacentral:lncRNA from 1 species
CCUGAACUUUGUCCAACACGAUCUCGCCCAAGCCACAUUACUAGUCAAUAUUUCCGGACAAACAUUGUUAAUUGUGAAUGAACAAUUUCAAGCACAUUGCAAGACAAAAUUAUCCUAUAGACUAGAAUUUAAUAAAAUGCAACAAAACCCAAUACAAUAGUCUUGUAUACAAAAUACUUAUAUACAUAUGGAAUAUGUUACUUGUACAUAAUGUUUGCGUCCAUCCCCCUCAUAUUGAGGGAAACCCACUUUGAAUAAAUUAUAUUUUAUUCAAAGUGGAUCCUCCUCUAGAGGGGUGGACGACAUUAUGGACAUUCUGAUGUGCAUGUACUAUCACCAUAUAUAUAGCAAAGUCAUUUAAAAAAAACCCUGAAAAUUGGAGAACUUAUCAAAAUGAGCAAGAGCACAUGGCAUGUAUAACACAAAACGCAAGGUAUUGCUGUAUUUUUUUUCUUGGUCAACGCAAAAUCUUUCUCCAUAAAGGCAUCCACAAUCGACUAGUCCAUCAUUAGUUGGAAAACAAACCACUCGUCUAAAUUGUAAUAAAAAGUCGAUGUAAGCUCUGAAAUUCUUGAAUUUCUCCUACUUCUGAUAAGUACUCUUCUCCAGCCAUCCCUGUAAAUUUGAAAAAUACA